rnacentral:lncRNA from 1 species
CAUUUGCAUCCAGGGGAUUUCUGCUCCUCACACAGGUCCUAGAAAUUCACGAAUCAUGUUCUCCAGGGCCACCCAAGCUUGAAACCCAUUGAUCCAUGGUGUAGCCGGAACACUGUGAUCUCUGAUUGCAGCCAGAACUCUGGGUGCCCCGUCAAGAGGCCACGGGAUCUAAGGCUUUCCCUGUGGAGGGCUCCUUCUCUGACUCCCCACCACGGAUCCUCAUGUGUCUCAGACUGGGCCCGGCAAGUCUGCACUGACCUUCGGAUGGCAAUCUUCCUCGACUGCACACCAGUACCCUGCAGACUGCAGGCAACAAAGACAUGUGACAGAUAUAUCACAAUGUCAGCGGUCACUCAAUACCCAGCCAGGGUUUUCCCAACUGCAUUAGCAACUCAUGAGAUUGAUAAAGUGGAUCCAAAUGACUUAUAUUUCUGCAAUGAGAAAUGGAAGUGAACAAAAUACGGAAGAAAACAUCAGAGUGCAUCACAGCG